rnacentral:rRNA from 2 species
GGACUACACGGGUAUCUAAUCCCGUUUGCUCCCCUGGCUUUCGUGCCUCAGCGUCAGGAAAUGUCCAGAGACUCGCCUUCGCCACUGGUGUUCCUCUCGAUAUCUACGCAUUUCACUGCUACACCGAGAAUUCCAGUCUCCCCUCCAUUCCUCUAGCCGGAGAGUAUCCGAUGCCAUUUCCAAGUUGAGCUUGGAGAUUUCACAUCAGACUUACCCGGCCGCCUACGCACCCUUUACGCCCAGUGAAUCCGAACAACGCUUGGGACCUCUGUAUUACCGCGGCUGCUGGCAC